rnacentral:miRNA from 1 species
CAUAUGCAUGUAUAUGUAUAUAUAUGUGUGUGUGUGUGUGUGUAUAUAUAUAUAUAUAUAUAUACACACACACACACACACACAUAUGUACGUGUGUAUC